UCUGCUUCAAAAGUCAUCACAAUUGACCAGAUUGUGGUUGUGUUAGAUUUCUAAGAGGCUGGCAGUCAGUCCUUCUGGGUAUUCUGCAUCAGUUACUCUCUUAGAUGCUUUCAUGACAUGACCUCAGUUCUCUGCCAGCCUCAGACACAACCACUGCAAGGACAGAUGAGGCGUCCAAAGCCUCGGGAGGUUAAGUCACAGGGCCAAGGUUACAGAGCCGAAAGUGGCAGAGCUGGGAUUCGAACCCAGGGCUCCUCUGGAAUGUGUUGCCAGAAGAACCUUCCCGGCCCAUCCACCCCGAUUCAGUCUGCCUCCAAUGACCGUCUUUUCUAAACUAGAUCAAGAGUCAAGUAAGUGGUAGGUCUCCCCGAGGGGUUCCCGCAGGACGGGUGGUUUUUGUGGGACUGUCCUCUAAGGCACGGGCUGUCUGGCACCUGGACCGACCUGUCCUUGAGCUGCAGCCCGCAUCACGAUGGUCACCGGCAGGCCUACGGGUCGACCGGUAGGUCAGGGCUGGCUCGACAGAUGGCAGCAUCACCAGAUGUCCAGGCACAUGGGGGCCCCCGGGGGCUCCUUCCCUUUCCUCCUUGCACACCUGCGCCUCCCAACUUUGGUUGGUCCCUUUAGUCUGUGCUUGCCACAGUCUUCCUGUCCUCAGGGCCCGUGUCGAGUGCCUUCUGUCCCAGGAGAACGUACCUUGUCCUCGGGCAGCUGUGGUGUCUUUCCCCCACCCCUCCCCUGACCCUCAUCAGGCCUUAGCAUCAUGCCCCGGUCUUCCCUGCCGCGUGGACACCUGCAUCCCGCACACUCUCCUCUCCCACUGAGGCGGGAGGAGGGCUUUCUGACGGGGCUCCGCUCCUACGGGGUCCACAGGCGGGGCCAGGGGUCGGCAAGUAGAGCAGUGGACGGCGCCGGUCAGGGUGAGAGGUUGGUCUUUCCCCAAACGAUGUGGUGUUUAUUUUACAGAACGUGCUACGUUGAAGAAGGUGCGUUCUACAUUGUUGUAUUUUAAGACACAGAAUACGUUUCACUUUUUAUUGGAGUUGACUUACAGCGUUGUGUUGACUUCCGCUGUAGAGCAGAGUGACCCAGUCAUACGUAUAUAUCCACUCUCUUUCUUAUACUAUCUCCCAUCAUCAUCUGUCCCAAGAGACUGGAUGGAGUUCCCCGUGCUGUCACAGCAGGACCUCGUGGCUUCCCCGUUCGGAGUGGACCAGUUUGCGUCUACUGACCCCCAAACUGCCCAGCCCGCCCGCUUCCCCCCCAACCCCUCUCCCUGCAACCACAGGUCUCCUCUCCCUGUCCGUGAGUCUGCUUCUGUUUUGCGGAUCGGUUCAUUCGUGCCGUGUUGAAGACACAGGAUGACGUUUAACCCCCCAUUCUCCACAUGUACCUCUGAUUCGGGUACAGAGACGACCGCAUUUAGGGGAAGCACAAGAGGUACAUCUUUUCAUCUCUGAAGAAUAAAACCGUUGUCGAUGACCAAAAGGAUUUUAGAAAAGGGGUUUCUUCUACAACUUCUUUGCUCCAGAAGAAAUUUCGUCUAAAUAAAUGUCCUCAUUCUGUGACUUGUUUAUAAAAAGUGUUUCAUGUUGACCCACACAUCUUAGUAGCACUCAGCUGUUUUCGUAAUUGCCACGUUUUCACCUGUCAUUCAGUUUACAUCAGCUUUCCUGAUUGUAACUUGUUCCCCACACAGGAAUGUAUUUAUCAAGAAGUUCUUCUAUAGAAAAAUAAUUUAUAUUGUUUUUAAUAUGCAUAACAUGAAUUUUAUGGAAAUAUGUGCAUAUACCAGGUAUGCAACACACCCCUGGGGAUCUGAGUAACAUAAAGGAAUGAUUUGAGAUGAAGAAUCACAAGAAGGAAAUAAAAACAGGCCUGUCCAUGAUUGUAUCUAAAGUAUUAGAUAUUUAGGAAUUCCCGGGUGGCUCAGCAGGUUAAGGACCUGGCAUUGUCACUUCAGUGGCUUGGGUUGCUGCUGUGGCUUGGGUUUGAUCCUUGGCCCAGGUACUUCUGCAUUGCUGUGGGCACAGCCAAAAAAAAAAAAAAAGUAUUAGACAUUUUAAACAAUGGGAAGUCAUUUUGUGCUUAGGUUUAUAAUUAACAAAACAUAAUAAAAUCCUACUCUUGGCAAAAUUAGGAAAAAGCAGAGUUUUAGCAGUGCAUUGCUGUGUUACUAAAAAAUUGGCCCUGUCUUUUUGGAGGAUAAUCUAGCAGUAUAUAAAGGACAUACAAGAUUUUAUUCGCUUUGUCCCAAUAAUCUCUCUCCUAGAAAUGUAUCCCAACGGGAUAAUUCAGUAGAAGAAAGAGGAAAAACCUUAAGUGUGCAAAAAUGUUCAUAGCAGGUUUACUUAAAAUAUUAAAGCCCUAGGGGCUACGCAUGUCCAACUAGCAAGGAGUUAAGUUAGUAACUGUCAGCUAAACAGUAGCAGGAUGUACUGCCUCUAAAAUGGUCAAUUCGAAGCCUCUUAAAGAGGCAUGAAAAGUGUUUAGACAAUACCAAGUGAAACCAUGGAACCGCGUGUUUAUAAUAAUUAGCUGGAGUUCCCUUUGUGGUGCAGUGGAAACGAAUCCAACUGGCAUCUAGGAGGAUGCGGGUUCAACCCCUGCCCUCGUUUGGUGAGUUGGGGAUCCAGCAUUGCUGUGGCUGUGGUGUAGGCUGGCAGCUGUAGCUCCAAUUCGACCCGUGGCCUGGGAACCUCUAUAUGCCGUGCGCAUGGCCCCAAAAGCAAAAAUAAAUGAAUAAUAAUAAUAGUAAUUAGCAUAUAAAAAUAUAUGUGCAUUUGGUUUAAAAUUGGAUGAAUCAGAGUUCCCUGGUGGCCCAUCAAUUAAGUAUCCAGCGUGGUCACUGAUGUAGCAGGGGUUCCAUCCCUGGCCUGGGAACUGGUCACUGCCACAGGCACAGUCAAAAAAUAAAGAGAAAAAUAAAUAAAAUUGAAUGAAUAGAAACACAAGUAAAUUAGUGUGGUAUUAAAGGAGAACUCUAAAGAUUGUAACUUUUUGUUGGGAAGUAAUUUUAGGUGAGAGGCAAAGUUGUAAACACAGUCCCGAGUUCCCGUACCCCCUGCCCCCAGCUCCCCUAAUGGGCAUGUGACCGUGUGCAGGCGUCCAAGCAGGAGGCCAGGUUCCACUCGGCUCCCCCUGCAGACCCUGCUGGGAUUCCAUCUCAGGAGGCAGGCCAGGCUCCCUCUGUGCAUUUGGUGGCCGUGUCAACGUUGUCGCCUCCCCUAUCCCACCCCACCGCAGCUCUGGGGCCAUAACUCACUCUCUUAGCUGCCAUGACCCUGACACCAUCUAGAAGCCCUCAUCGCGCUACUGCAGAGUGUCUCAGUCUGCGCUGUGAUGCUUUCUCUGGACUAGCUUGGGGUUAUGCGUUUGGGCGGAAAUACCAAGGAGUGCUGUGUCCUCCUGGGGGCCCUCUGCGGGACCCCGACUCUCCAAACACAUCAUCCCUGGUGACGUCAGCCGUGGUCCUUUGGUGCGUGAGGUAGGGUCUGCUGGGUUUUCCUUUAAUGAAGCUACUGAUAAAUAUCUAGUUUGAGACUCUGCCAAUAUUCUAUAAAAACACAUUUAAUGUUAUCAGUUGUAUUCAAUAAGAAGUAGGUUUUUUAAAAACAAAGAAUUUCCUUGUAAUAAAUGUGCUUAUUAGUCUUGAGUAAAACGCCCGGGGGCCAUGUGUGUGUGGGCGCAAACCUGUUUGCCCUGUUUUUAUGUUUUUUUCUUUUUUGGCGGCCCUGCGGGGUGUGGAGCUCCAGGGCCAGGGGUCACACUGGAGCCACCAUUUCCACGUACACCAGCUGUGGCAACAACGGAUGCUUUAACCCAGUGUGCGGGGCGGGGAUCGAACCUGUGUCACCGCGCUCCAGUGACGCCACCAUCCCACUGCGCCCCAGCGGGGGCGCCUCCCCUCUUUGAUACCAGGCGAAUUCGAAGUCGGAAUGCCAGGAAAUGCCUCUGCUGAUGAGGGAGUUUGGGGAGUAGUUGUUACACAUGAACCAAUACCUUCGGGUACUUAACCUUUUCAUGCAGUUAUGUGUGCAGCUCGGAAAUACUCCGCAGCCUGAAAGAAAGGACAGCGCGGAUUGUCCCAAUGUGACGUCUGCUUCUUUUUUUAGUCUUCCAUGGAUUUAUCAUCUAAGAACCAAUUAAAUGCUUUUUCAGCCCCUCCUGUGUUGCGGGGGGCAGAGGGGGACAGUUUGGGACCUUUCUGGGCCUUUGAGGAGGAGCUGGAGGACCCGGGGUGAGGCAGGGCUGCCGGGGUUGGGCGUGUGAGUGGACUUGGUGACCUGGCCAGGUCUGCUGAGGAUGGAAGGGCAGCUCCCAGACUCGAGGGCAGCAGAGGCUGUGGGCCUUGGAAGGUUCUCAGCAGAACCCGGGGAAUAAGCGAUAGCUAUUGAUUUCUUUCACGUAAAACCUCGUCAGGAGUUCCAGGCGUGGUGCAGUGGAAACGAAUCUGACUGGCAUCCCUGAGGAUACAGGUUCGAUCCCUGGCCUCGCUCAGUGGAUUAAGGAUCCAGCGUUGCCGUGAGCUGUGGUGUAGGUCACAGACAAGGCUCAGAUCUGAGCUGUAGGCCGGCAGCUGCAGCUCCAAUUUGACCCCUAGCCUGGGAACUUCCAUAUGCUGUGGGUGUGGCCCUAAAAAGCAAAAGACAACAACAACAACAACAAAACUCUUUCUCAGUCUGUUAUCACACAGCAGCUAUGCUUGGAGGGCUGCUGGGGUCAGGGGCUGCGUUGGGUUGCUGUAAAGCGGGAAGCUUUCCACAGAUCCAGCUCCAGCCCAGGGUCUGUGUGGGUUUGGGCCCAAAUCUUUUGCUGCUUGAACACUGAAAUUCUCUGCGAAUGUUCCAUGUCUUUCUUCAGUCAUUUAUCUCAGAGGAAGAAGAAUCUGUAUGUGUGUCUAUUCCUGUUUGUACUGAUAGAUGUGCAUAUUUAUGUAAUACGCUAGUGUAGUCAUAUGUUAACCAUAGAAGUUGUUUUUCCCUGUGGUGGUCCCAUUUUUGCCCAAUUAACCUGGAAUUAGUGUGUUAGCACAACGAACUGGCCUUUUUAAAGAGCUGCACAGGGAGUUCCCAUUGUGGCUCAGCAGGUUGCAAACCUGACUAGUCUCCGUGAGGACACAGGUUCGAUUUCCUGGCCCUGCUCAGUGGGUUAAGGAUCUGGCAUUGCCGUGAGCUGUGGAGUAGGUCGCAGACGCGGCUCAGAUCUGGUGUUGCUGUGGCUGUGGUGUAGGCUGGCAGCUGCAGCUCCCAUUCGACCCCUAGCCUGGGAACCUCCAUAUGGCACAGGUGUGGCCCUAGAAAGCAGAGCAAACAAACAAAUAAAUAAAUAGCUGGACGGGAUAUUCAUUUAUAGACAGAGAACCUGUCUGUGUACAUGAAGGUCCGUGAAGGUUAAGGGCCUCAGCCACGGCUACCCUUUGUCAGGUAGCAGAAUGCAGGACGCGUCAUUUCCGCUGCUUUUUACUCCAAACGCCCUUUUUCUGCUCUAACACCAACAUCUUGGGCAUUUUCUUCUUCCUUGGAGCUUUGAGGAGGAAAGAGAAAAAAGAGAAACAAAUAGUGUUUGCAGCUAUUUUGUUUGUAUCCUGUCUGACCAAUUUUUUCUAAGUCGGAUCCUUCUGCUUCAUAGCGUUUGAGCUGACCAUUUAAACAAUGAGGAAGAGGAGAAAUAAAAAUCAUUGCAUGUGAAGGAUCGGGUUCCCAAGGGCAAAGGAACCUUUCUGUGCAUUUCUUCAGCUUACUGUUCCCCCCAAAGCCCUGGGAGGCUCUGUGCUGUUCGUGAUGAGAAAGCUGAGGCUCCGUUUGCGUGAGUUCAUAAAGGCUCUUAAGAGGCGGAGACAAGGUUCAGAGCCAAGCCUGCCUCUUUCCAAAACCUGGGGUCUUCACACUCCCUGGCCUCACCUACCACUGACCUUCCACGUUAUGUUCCAAAUCCAGGCCAAGGGAUGCUCCCUGGUGGCUGAGCAGGUUAAGGAUCUGGCACUGUCACUGCUAUGGCUCUGGUUACUGCUGUGGCAGGAGUUUGAUCCCUAGUCCGGGAACUUACCUAUGCUGCAGAUAUGCUAAAAAAAAAAAAAAAAAAAAAAA
rnacentral:lncRNA from 1 species